GCCCGUCUAGCUCAGUUGGUAGUGCGCAAGGCUCUUAACCUUGUGGUCCUGGGUUCGAGCCCCAGGGUGGGCG
rfam:Ipomoea nil DNA, scaffold: scaffold1868, cultivar: Tokyo-kokei standard.